UGUAUGACUGAAGAAUCCCAUGUAUCGGU
rnacentral:piRNA from 1 species